GUGCCAGCCGCCGCGGUAAUACGAAGGGGGCUAGCGUUGUUCGGAAUUACUGGGCGUAAAGCGCACGUAGGCGGACAUUUAAGUCAGGGGUGAAAUCCCGGAGCUCAACUCCGGAACUGCCUUUGAUACUGGGUGUCUCGAGUAUGGAAGAGGUAAGUGGAAUUGCGAGUGUAGAGGUGAAAUUCGUAGAUAUUCGCAGGAACACCAGUGGCGAAGGCGGCUUACUGGUCCAUUACUGACGCUGAGGUGCGAAAGCGUGGGGAGCAAACAGGAUUAGAAACCCGAGUAGUCCCGAAA
rnacentral:rRNA from 1 species